rnacentral:lncRNA from 1 species
AUUGUCAAACUGAACUAAAUGAUGGUCAAGGUCACCCUAUUUGGACGUCGCAAUAAGAUAUACAAUAAUAACUUAUUUUGAUAUUAAGAUUUUAAUGUGAAUAGAAGUUAGAAAUUUAAUUUUUACUCCUUAAAAGGUCAAUCUUGACAUCCGUAAUUUGGUAGGAUAGCAUAUUUCAUUAUCAGAUGAUUUAUCUUGAUAUUCUAAAAAUAUAAAUUGAAGACCUAAUAUGAUAUUCAUUCUAGACAUUUAAUCGCGUUUCUCAUUCACCAACUAUUAUAUAUAUGUUUCUUGCAUAAAUCAAAAAGAUAUACCGCAUAAGAUAUUCAUGCAUCUGGAUAGGGCCGUAAGGCAUAUAGUC